rnacentral:rRNA from 1 species
AUACGGAGGAUGCGAGCGUUAUCCGGAUUUAUUGGGUUUAAAGGGUGCGUAGGCGGAAAGUUAAGUCAGCGGUGAAACGCAGGUGCUCAACACCUGACCUGCCGUUGAGACUGGUUUUCUAGAAUGCGGAUGCUGUGGGAGGAAUGUGUGGUGUAGCGGUGAAAUGCAUAGAUAUCACACAGAACACCGAUUGCGAAGGCAUCUCACAAAUCCGCGAUUGACGCUGAGGCACGAAGGUGCGGGGAUCGAACAGGAUUAGAUACCCUGGUAGUCCGCACAGUAAACGAUGAUAACUCGCUGUCGGCGAUAGACAGUCGGUGGCCAAGCGAAAGCGAUAAGUUAUCCACCUGGGGAGUACGACCGCAAGGUUGAAACUUAAAGGAAUUGGCGGGG